rnacentral:rRNA from 1 species
UCGGGAAUUUUGGGCAAUGGGCGCAAGCCUGAUCCAGCCAUGCUGCGUGAGUGACGAAGGUCUUCGGAUUGUAAAGCUCUUUUGGCGGGGACGAUAAUGACGGUACCCGCAGAAUAAGCCCCGGCUAACUUCGUGCCAGCAGCCGCGGUAAUACGAAGGGGGCUAGCGUUGUUCGGAAUUACUGGGCGUAAAGCGCACGUAGGCGGACUGAUAAGUCAGGGGUGAAAUCCCGGGGCUCAACCUCGGAACUGCCUUUGAUACUGUUAGUCUCGAGUCCGGAAGAGGUGAGUGGAAUUCCUAGUGUAGAGGUGAAAUUCGUAGAUAUUAGGAAGAACACCGGUGGCGAAGGCGGCCCACUGGCUCGAUACUGACGCUGAGGUGCGAAAGCGUGGGGAGCAAACAGGAUUAGAUACCCUCGUAGUCCCUGAGCGGGCUGGCAAGGCGCAU